GAUCCUGGCUCAGAACGAACGCUGGCGGCAUGCCUAACACAUGCAAGUCGAACGAGACCUUCGGGUCUAGUGGCGCACGGGUGCGUAACGCGUGGGAAUCUGCCCUGGGGUGCGGAAUAACUCGGAGAAAUCCGUGCUAAUACCGCAUAAUGUCUUCGGACCAAAGAUUUAUCGCCCUGGGAUGAGCCCGCGUAGGAUUAACUAGUUGGUGGGGUAAAAGGCCUACCAAGGCGACGAUCCUUAGCUGGUCUGAGAGGAUGAUCAGCCACACUGGGACUGAGACACGGCCCAGACUCCUACGGGAGGCAGCAGUGGGGAAUAUUGGACAAUGGGCGAAAGCCUGAUCCAGCAAUGCCGCGUGAGUGAUGAAGGCCCUAGGGUUGUAAAGCUCUUUUACCCGGGAUGAUAAUGACAGUACCGGGAGAAUAAGCUCCGGCUAACUCCGUG
rnacentral:rRNA from 1 species